rnacentral:rRNA from 1 species
GGAUUGACACAUCGGUCGUGCCUUAAGGGGUGUGAACUGGUGUAGUCAAUUUCUCACCUUCUGGAGAACCGCGAUGUCCUUAAUUGGGUGCCUCGAGGAACCAGGACUUUUACUUUGAAAAAAUUAGAGUGUUCAAAGCAGGCAUAUGCCCGAAUACAUUAGCAUGGAAUAAUAAAAUAGGACGUGCGGUUCUAUUUUGUUGGUUUCUAGAGUCGCCGUA